GGCUUUUUGAUUAUGAUUUAAAGUCAGACCUGCCCACUGAGGAGUUAAAUGGCUGCAGUAUUUUGACUGUACAAAGGUAGCAUAAUCAUUUGCUUUUUAAUUGAAAGCUUGUAUGAAAGGUUCGAUGAAAAAAUAACUGUCUCUAAAAAAAUUAAUUAGAAUUUUAUUUUUAAGUUAAAAAGCUUAAAUAAUUAUAGAAGACGAGAAGACCCUAUAGAGUUUUAUAUUAAAAAUAAGUUGGUUGGUUUAGUAUUUUUUAAUUAAUUUUUUUUUAUUAUUUAGUUGGGGUGAUUGAAAAAUUAAAAGAACUUUUUUUAUAUUUUUACAUUGAUAUAUGAAAAUUUGAUCCUUUUUUAAAGAUUACAAGAGUAAAUUACCUUAGGGAUAACAGCGUUAUUUUUUUUUAGAGUUCUAAUCGAAAAAAAAGAUUGCGACCUCGAUGUUGGAUUAAAGAAGAGUUUUGGUGUAGAAGCUAAGAUUUCAGGUCUGUUCGACCUUUAAAUCUUUACAUGAUCUGAGUUUAGACCGGCGUGAG
rnacentral:rRNA from 1 species